GAGGCUGUAGCUCAAGUGGUAGAGCGCUCACCUAGCACGUGUGAGGCCAUGGGUUCGAUCCUCAGCACCACA
rnacentral:tRNA from 1 species